ACGGUAAUGACUGUAGUCUAAAAUCUGUUGGUCGCUUAAAUGUUGGUUUAGUUCUGUAUAUCGGAGGUCUCAUGGAAUCAAUCAUCUUCCACAACUAUUAACAUUUAUGAUUUUCCAGCUAGCGUGAUUUUCACUCAGUCCAAUGAUUAUCUUGCACGACUCCUAUUGUACUUUGCCAUUGCAGUGAAGAACUUUCUGGUGAGACAACAGUCUUCAGUGAAGUCUUUGAGGUGAUACAUUCAUUUUGUUCAACCAACAGUUGAUAGGGAGCAAAAGAGGGUUAGAAAACAUCUUGGAGUUCCAAUCUUUAUCUUUGUAUGACUUCAUAUGAAAAGGUACACCAUAGCAUAUAUGAAUCUCUAUGUUUCUACAAUCCUUGUAUAGCUGUAUUGUUUUCCAGACUUAACGACAAAAACACAACCAGUAAUUUUUCAGUUGUUCUUGUUUUUUAGUUGAGCAACAAGUCUUGUUGUACAGUUCUCCUUCCAGAUUACAUGAAGUUUAAUGGAUAUCUUCUUUUGAUUACUUAACAUGUACAUUUUUUGGUUUUUAAUCGUGAAUUUGCUUCUGUCUUUUGUUGUAAGCAGCUAAAUCUCUAAUGUGUCUCUCAUUUUCUUGUUUGUAUGGGUCUUUGUCGAUCGGAUAUGGUUGUAAACUGUGAUAGUGAGGGGUUGAUUAUUAUGUUAACCUUUAGAAACUCACAUGUUGAUUUAAUUUGAUUGUUAUUGCUGUAUGUGUAUUCUGAUCUGUCCGUAGCUCUGUCACUCAUUCUAUCUUGUAAAGCAACUGUUUUGGAUAUGGGCAUUCACGGCACUGACAAGCAUUCCUGUUCUAUUUCUUUUAUUUGGCUCUCUAUUGGAAACUUUAUAUGAUUUGGAAGUGUGGUAGUUUUAAAUACUGUGAUCCUUUAAAUUGAUUGUAAUGCCAUGAUUUACUUAUAAUUUGUGCGAAGUUGUGGUGGUCAUGAAUCAUGUAGUGACUGCAUAAGGCUUGGUUCCAUUUUUAUUGGCUUGAGCUGCGGAAGAUUUUUAAAGUUGAAGUUGCACAUUUCGGAAAAGUUCUUGUCUAAUACUGAUGUAAGUAACAAAAUCUUGUAAACGUUAAACACUCAUGAGGUAUUUUAACAUAUAAGUCGCAUACUAUUUCAGCAUCUUUCUAUACUGGGAAAUCUGUUAAACACACAUGUGACCUUUUGUGGUGUUGUGGUUCACUGCUCUUACUGGUGCCCAACUCUGGCCUUCUCUUGGAAACAAUGUUCUUAGACAUAAAGUUCCAGUUGGGAACAUUCUCUGAGAGAUGCAAAGCUCGGUUUCAAGGACUUAGAGGUGAUCCUUGUUGGUAGAUCCGCAUGUAUCCCAGCUGUUCAGGAGCUUGUGAAAUCAUCGACUGGUAAAGACCCAAAUGUCACUGUGAAUCAUGGUGAAGUAGCUGCUCUUGGUACAGCGGUUCUGGCUGUUCUUUUUGUCUGGAGAUGUAAGUACAUUGUUCUCACGAAUGUCUCACCAUGGCUCGUGUUGGAAACACUUUCUGCAGUUCAUGUCAUUUACAACCCAUUCCUUAUCACAAUUCAUUCUUAAUCAUGUGAGUGACAAUGCGAUUCCAUGAUGAAUGCUGGCUUGCUUAAUUGAUUUUUGAUUUUCUGAACAAUAGGCUGGUGCUUUAUCUGGGGAUAACUAAGUGACAUUGUUCUCCUGGAUGUCCAUUGUCUCUUGUUUUGGAACCAUUUUGGAGGUAUGGUAGCUAAGAUCAUCCCAAGGAACCCCCAUUGCCGACCUCAAAAAUUAGAGGUGUUCUUUACAGGUGCAGAUGGACAAGUACUGAGAUAAAAGUACUACAGGGAGAAAAGAAGUUUGUGAGAGACAACAAGUCUCUCGGAUGCCUCCGUUUAGAUGGUAUUCCGCUGGCCCCAAGUAUGUUUUUCUUUGACUAUUCUCUUCCGUAAACAUUAUUAAUUGCCAAUUGCACCAUCCCAAAUUCCAAGGCUAGAUAUUUGAGGUCUUUCUGGUAUGAAAGAUGCCAAUUUGUAGAAAUUGCUAAGCGGUUACCUGUUUGCUGUCAACUAGUGUUUGCCAGCAUUAGUUGUCCAAACUCUCCAUUCCUUCAAUAGUGAAGUCGGUGGGCUUCUUUUUCUGCAGUACUUCUUCUUUUUAACAUCUUAUGUAUUCGCAUGCAUGUUGAUCAUCUGAGACGAUUUUGUUUGAGCUUGUAAUAACUUUCCUUGAUCGUAUUGCUCAAGUCUGAUUUUGUGAUAUCCUUUUAACUGUUUAUUUGUGGUUGUACCAAUUAAGAGCCAAAGUCAGAAAAGCUAGCUGGUCAAGCUUGGAUGCUGAGAAUAUUAUCUUUGUUUGUUUGGUAACUGUUUGCUGAUGUGUUGCCUUUCAAUGCUAAAAUAGCCGCCUUCUCUUCCAAGUUCGUUGUGCGUUGCUUGCUUUGUAAUUCUGGAGUGCAGAAACUUAUAAAAUGUCCUUUAGCGAGAGUUGUUUGAUUCAAUUUAGGAAUUCCUUGUCCUUAUAGCAAUAACUUUUU